UACGUAGGAUGCGAGCGUUGUCCGGAAUUAUUGGGCGUAAAGAGCUUGUAGGCGGUCUGUCGCGUCUGCUGUGAAAAUCCGGGGCUCAACCCCGGACUUGCAGUGGGUACGGGCAGACUAGAGUGUGGUAGGGGAGACUGGAAUUCCUGGUGUAGCGGUGAAAUGCGCUGAUAUCAGGAGGAACACCGAUGGCGAAGGCAGGUCUCUGGGCCACUACUGACGCUGAGAAGCGAAAGCAUGGGGAGCGAACAGG
rnacentral:rRNA from 1 species